CUUGAGUUGAAAUGUACAGGUAUAGGUAAAGAACUGUAAACAUCAACAGCACACCUUGAGUUGUACAGGUAUAGGUAAAGAACUGUAAACAUCAACAGCACACCUUGAGUUGUACAGGUAUAGGUAAAGAACUGUAAACAUCAACAGCACACCUUGAGUUGUACAGGUAUAGGUAAAGAAC